rnacentral:lncRNA from 1 species
GCAGGCAUGGGCUGCAAACAAACACCAUCAUGUGUUGCUCUAAAUCAGACGAAGGCUGUUCAACUUCAUCAUAGCAAGUGUUACUGAGAGCCCUCUACCCUUCAGGUGCAGAGGGAGGGGACCCAUAGGUCCUUGGCAUUGUGGUUGAAGGAAAGGAUUUAACAAAGCCAUGCACAAUACCCUGCUGCGAGGCGGACCCGAGUCCAGGAGGUCGUGUGGCAGAGGCAUUGACCCUACAGACUGUGUUUGCCUGGCUCCAUCAGGGGCUCUGGCUGAAGACUCGAGGGCCAGGGAAGGAAAAGCAAUCGAUCCCAGGUCCUCUACCCCUGAAUUCCGGCACCUUGAUGAGGAGCUGUGUGUCCUCUGGCUGUCUCCCAUCCAGUGGCCCAGCCCCUGGGCUCCAGUAGCCUCCAGAAUGGUAUUUGUCAUGGCAGCCCAAGGAGACCUGUGCACACGAGGCCCUAGACUCUGUAGAUCCACGCAGCUUGCAGUCACCAUGCCUUUUGAAGCUGCUGUGCACCCAUUUAAACCAAGCCCAGAACUUUUCACCUCAUGUUUGGCACCAGGAAGACACCCUGUAAGCCUCUUAUAUUUGCUAAGUUUUUAUCACAAGUUUGGUUGCAUGGUACCACAUUUAUGGGUGGUUAUAUAAAGGAUGUGGCAGCGGAUCAUCUUUCCCAAGGAUGGCGCAGCAGUAUGGCCGUCCACGUGCGUCGCUACAGUGUGAACUCCACACGCCUCCGAGAGAGAAGAGGAGCCUGCAUCCUUGCUCCUUGACUCUGGGUCGGCCGUGACUUGCUGAAAAGAAGUUCGUGUAACUUCUGAGGCUGUGACUCCUCAGGCAAGGCCGAGGAGCUUUUGGCUGGCCCUCUGGGAUGCUCAGCUUUGGACACCUGAUGGGUUGUGUGGGAAUUCUGACCGCUCUGAGCCACCGUGAGGUGAGACCACUGUGGCCGUGUGAGGGCCGUGUGUGAGGGUUCUGGUCUCAGCUGACUGCUGCAGCCAUUGCUAGACAUGAGCAUGGAGCAGCCAUGUGUCCCUGUCACCCAAACUCCAGGCCCAUAAAAUGGUAAGCA